rnacentral:misc_RNA from 1 species
UAGGCAUUGUCUUAGAGAAAAAAAAAAAUAAAAAAAAAAAUAGAAGGGAUUGCGUAUCCCUUUUGAAAUUUUUAUCAUCGUUUCUAGACAGUAACAGAAAGGUUUCUGCGAAGUUACAACAAAAUGUAGUGUCCACGAGCAGAGAUAUAGACAUUUGAAGAAAUGGUACAUAGGCGUUGUCUUAGAGAAAAAAAAAACAAUAAAAAAAAUAGAAGGGAUUGAGUAUCCCUUUUGAAAUUUUUAUCAUCGUUUCUAGACAGUAACAGAAAGGUUUCUGCGAAGUUACAACAAAAUGUAGUGUCCACGAGCAGAGAUAUAGACAUUUGAAGAAAUGGUACAUAGGCGUUGUCUUAGAGAAAAAAAAAAUAAAAAAAAUAGAAGGGAUUGAGUAUCCCUUUUGAAAUUUUUAUCAUCGUUUCUAGAUAGUAAUAUAAAGGUUUCUACGAAGUUACAACAAAAUGUAGUGUCCACGAGCAGAGAUAUAGACAUUUGAAGAAGUAGUACAUAGGCAUUGUCUUAGAGAAAAAAAAAAAAAAAAAAAAAGAAGGGAUUGAGUAUCCCUUUUGAAAUUUUUAUCAUCGUUUCUAGAUAGUAACAGAAAGGUUUCUACGAAGUUACAACAAAAUGUAGUGUCCACGAGCAGAGAUAUAGACAUUUGAAGAAGUAGUACAUAGGCAUUGUCUUAGAGAAAAAAAAAAUAGAAGGGAUUGAGUAUCCCUUUUGAAAUUUUUAUCAUCGUUUCUAGAUAGUAAUAUAAAAGUUUCUACGAAGUUACAACAAAAUGUAGUGUCCACGAGCAGAGAUAUAGACAUUUGAAGAAGUAGUAUAUAGGCAUUGUCUUAGAGAAAAAAAAAUAGAAGGGAUUGAGUAUCCCUUUUGAAAUUUUUAUCAUCGUUUCUAGAUAGUAACAGAAAGGUUUCUGCGAAGUUACAACAAAAUGUAGUGUCCACGAGCAGAGAUAUAGACAUUUGAAGAAAUGGUACAUAGACGUUGUCUUAGAGAAAAAAAAGUAAAAAAAAAAAUAGAGGGG